CUUGGCGACCAUAGCGUUUUGGACCCACCUGACUCCAUUCCGAACUCAGAAGUGAAACGAAAU
rnacentral:rRNA from 1 species